AUCAUCCCAAAAUAUAUGACGUAGAUUUUGUUUAACAUGUGAGGAGUUAUAGCUUUUGACCGACGGACAAUGCAAAGAUGAAUGGACAAAAUGGCAUCUAAGGGUUUGGUUUUAACAUUUGAAUGGACAGAUGAAAAAAAAAAAUCAAAGAUUCUUAUAGGGAUAGAUACAUAGAUAUUUUAUCUAAUGCAGAGAUUUUUAGAAAGCAAUAUUUUAGAUAUCAAGG
rnacentral:lncRNA from 1 species